AUUCUAGAAAAGACAAUUUUAUUGCCUAACAUAAAUUUAUUUUUAAUGAAAAGUUUAAAGUGCUACUUUUAGACGAUAAGACCCUAUGAAGCUUUAUUACCAAUAAUUUUUUUGGGGAAAAACUUAAUUUUUUUAUUUAAAAUUAGGACAAUGCUGAUCUUACAGAAAUACAAGAAAAAGCUACUCUAGGGAUAACAGCAUAAUUUUUAUUAAAGCCCAUAUUGAAAUAAAAGGUUGUGACCUCGAUGUUGAAUUAAGAAACCUAAUUUGUGCAGCAGCUAAUUAGGCGCAGUCUGUUCGACUGGCUUAUCUUACAUGAUCUGAGUUCAAACCGGA
rnacentral:rRNA from 1 species